rnacentral:lncRNA from 1 species
CCUCACCCUCAGACAUUGCAGCACUCAAAGCCUUCAAGGCCUCAAUCAAACCCUCCUCCAUCACUCCCUGGUCAUGCCUCGCCUCAUGGAACUUCACAACCGACCCAUGCUCACUCCCUCGCCGAACCUCCUUCAUCUGCGGCCUCACCUGCACCCAAGACUCCACAAGAAUCAACCAAAUCACUCUCGACCCAGCAGGGUACUCAGGCACACUCACCCCACUAAUCUCUCAACUCACACAACUCACCACACUUGACCUCGCUGAUAACAACUUCUUUGGCCCAAUCCCCUCUUCAAUCUCUUUACUCUCAAACCUCCAAACCUUAACCCUUCGAUCCAAUUCCUUCUCGGGCACAAUCCCUCCCUCCAUAACCACCCUCAAAUCACUCCUAUCUC